AGGAGCCGUGUAAAUCGAAAGAUUUACGCACGGUUUUGAAGCCAAGUCGGAGGAGUGAUCCUCCGGCUUAGGUUAAC
rfam:Acaryochloris marina MBIC11017 plasmid pREB2, complete sequence.